CCUACGGGUGGCAGCAGUGAGGAAUAUUGGUCAAUGGGCGCAAGCCUGAACCAGCCAAGUCGCGUGAGGGAUGACGGUCCUAUGGAUUGUAAACCUCUUUUGUCGGGGAGCAAGGCCCGCCACGUGUGGCGGGAAGGAGGGUACCCGAAGAAAAAGCAUCGGCUAACUCCGUGCCAGCAGCCGCGGUAAUACGGAGGAUGCGAGCGUUAUCCGGAGUUAUUGGGUUUAAAGGGUGCGUAGGCGGAAGGUUAAGUCAGCGGUCAAAUGUCGGUGCUCAACACCGGCCUGCCGUUGAAACUGGUCGUCUUGAGUGAGCGAGAAGUAUGUGGAAUGCGUGGUGUAGCGGUGAAAUGCAUAGAUAUCACGCAGAACUCUGAUUGCGAAGGCAGCAUACUGGCGCUCAACUGACGCUGAGGCACGAAAGCGUGGGGAUCGAACAGGAUUAGAUACCCGAGUAGUC
rnacentral:rRNA from 1 species